GAAAUGCGAUAAGUAAUGUGAAUUGCAGAAUUCAGUGAAUCAUCGAAUCUUUGAACGCACCUUGCGCUCCUUGGUAUUCCUUGGAGCAUGCCUGUUUGAGUAUCAUGAAAUCUUCAAAGUAAAUCUUUUGUUAACUCAAUUGGUUUCUACUUUGGUAUUGGAGGUCUUUGCAGCUUCACACCUGCUCCUCUUUGUUCAUUAGCUGGAUCUCAGUGUUAUGCUUGGUUCCACUCGGCGUGAUAAGUUAUCUAUCGCUGAGGACACUGUAAAAGGGCCAAGGUAAAUGCAGAUGAACCGCUUCUAAUAGUCCAUUGACUUGGACAAUACUUUUAUGAUCUGAUCUCAAAUCAGGUAGGACUACCCGCUGAACUUAAGC
rnacentral:misc_RNA from 1 species